GCCUCACCGCCGCGACGCUCAAGGAGCCGGGCCCGGGCCGCUUCUCCCGAUCCCCCUUGCGCGUUGAGCCUGCGGAAGCAUGGAGGGGGAGAGUACGUCGGCGGUGCUCUCCGGCUUUGUGCUCGGCGCGCUCGCUUUCCAGCACCUCAACACCGACUCGGACACGGAAGGUUUUCUUCUUGGGGAAGUGAAAGGUGAAGCCAAGAAUAGUAUUACUGAUUCCCAAAUGGAUGAUGUUGAAGUUAUUUAUACAAUUGACAUCCAGAAAUAUAUUCCAUGCUAUCAGCUCUUUAGCUUUUAUAAUUCUUCUGGUGAAUUAAAUGAGCAAGCACUGAAGAAAAUAUUAUCAAGUGUCAAAAAGGCUGUGGUUGGUUGGUACAAAUUCCGACGUCAUUCAGACCAGAUCAUGACAUUUAGAGAGAGACUGCUUCAUAAAAACUUACAGAAGCAUCUUUCAAGCCGGGAACUGGUUUUUCUGCUGUUAACACCAAGUAUAAUAACAGAAAGCUGCUCUACUCAUCGGCUGGAGCAUGCCUUAUAUAAACCUCAGAAGGGGUAAUGUUGGCCAGUCAUUGGCUGUUUUCAGUUAAUAGAAAACUAUACUCAGUGUUUUCAUUGUACUUUUUGCAGCCUAACAAAUAUUUCAAAUACUGUUGCAUUUGUUACAAUAACCCUCUGAAGUUAGUGUACCAUAUUUUCUUAUAGAUGGGGAAGAUGAAGGUUGCAUAAGGAAAUUAGAAGCCCAGUAUGGAAUGAUGACUUGUGUUUUUGCCACAGAGGAUUUGUUAUAAGGUGGAAAAAAUAUGUGUACUUUGGAUAUGGUUCCUAAAGGACGUAAUAUAGAACUAAUCCUAGGUACUUGAGCAGCUUUUCUAUAACCUCUGCAAAGAAAGAAACAAGGUUGUUCUUGGUGGUCCACCAAAAUGAGUUAACAGAGACUCCCAACAGGUUAUGUAAACAACAUUCUCAUGGGAUAUGAGGAUUAAGUGAAAAGAGUACCAACUAAGAUUAAUUUUAUUAUUUUUUUUAAGUGAGCUUGACACCCACCCCCAGUGCAUGGAUUUGAACUCACCACCCUGAGAUCAAGACCUGAGCUGAGAUCAAGAGUCAGAGACUUAACCAACUGAGCCACUCAGACUUUUUCACAGGAUACCAUUAGUGGUGGCCAAUCUGGGCAUGUCUGAACAACUGGGUUAUAAAACUGUAUCAGGUUCCUGCGAGUCCACUGGUUUUAGCCGAGCAAUAAAAACACACAGCUCUGAAUUUUUUAAAGAAGAUGGAUCUUUAAAGGAGGUACAUAAAAUAAAUGAAAUGUAUGCUUCUUUACAAGAGGAAUUAAAGAGUAUAUGCAAAAAAGUAGAACACAGUGAGCGAGCAGUAGAGAAACUACUAAAGGAUGUACACAGAUUGAAAUGGGAAAUUAAAAAAAGAAAACAGGCACAAAUUCAAGUAGCACGGGAGACCGUCGAAAAAGACCCUCAGGAGAACAUUUUUCUUUGCGAAGCUUUACGGACCUUUUUUCCAGAUUGCGAAUUUCUUCAUUCAUGUGUUAUCUCUUUGAAAAAUAGGCAUAUUUCUAAAAGUAGCUGUACUGCCAACCACCAUCUUGAUGUGAUAGACAACCUGACCUUAAUGGUAGAAUACACCGACAUUCCUGAAGCUAGUCCAGCUAGCAGUACACCGCAAAUGAUUAAACAUAAAGCUUUAGAUACUGAUGAUGGAUGGCAAUUCAAGAAGUCACGGCUGUUAGAGACACAAAACAAACCAUCUAAAACAGAUACUGAUAGUAGUAAUCAAGAAAAAGCAUAUACAUUGAGCAGCCCUGAAACAGAUGAAGAGAUUGAAAGAAUGAA